AUGAUACAUUCUCCCCAGAUGCCUCAGUUCCCACCAAUGAGACAGUCCCCUUCCCAGCCCAAGAAACCUGUGAGUACACAAAGAGAGUGUGUGUGUUUGUGUACUGUACAUUGUGUGUGUGUGUGUGUGUGUUAACCCUGUGUGUUCACUGCAGAACCAAAGGGUGAAAGAGGAGAAGCCGCUCCCCUCCCCGGUGCUGCCCCCCUCCCCCUUCAGCCCCACCCAGCGACACCACAAACCACAAGACAACAAACACACACACAGUGAGUACACACACCUGGCUCUGUGUGUGUAAGAAUCGUUAGGGAGAGAGCGGGAGAGAUUUGUCUGUGUGUCUCUCUGCCUCGACGGUAGAGUGUCUAUUUUAGAAUUUCUUCACAGUGAAUAGGUCACCUGUAUUACCCAAUCAAUUGACUCCUGCAGGAUCAGAUGUGAAGCUAUUGGACUGUUCUCGUCCUGGGCUCCGCCUCCCGGACUCCCCGGCCCCUCCCCCUUCCCAUCAGGACAGCAAACUGAAGCCGGAGGCUAAAACUCCCAUCACCGCCAAGAAGACACAGGAUGUGAAGUUAAAGAACAUGGGUUCUUGGGCCAGCUUGGCCCAGCGUUCUCAGUCCACCCCAGCCUCCGCUGUCCGCUCGUCUAGCGACAGCUUCGAACAGUUCCGUCGCGCCGCCCGAGAGAAGGAGAGAGAGAAACAGCUAAAAGCACAGGCCGAGCAGGCCAGGAGAGAGCAGGAGAAACUACGGUAAGGGGGAAGGAUGGAGGGAGGGGAAGGGCAGGGAGAUAGUGGAGGAGAGAGAGAAACAGCUAAAAGCACAGGCCGAGCAGGCCAGGAGAGAGCAGGAGAAAUUACGGUAAGGGGGAAGGAUGGAGGGAGGGGAAGGGCAGGGAGAUAGUGGAGGAGAGAGAGAACUGAAAGCACAGGCCGAGCAGGCCAGGAGAGAGCAGGAGAAAUUACGGUAAGGGGGAAGGAUGGAGGGAGGGGAAGGGCAGGGAGAUAGUGGAGGAGAGAGAGAAACAGCUAAAAGCACAGGCCGAGCAGGCCAGGAGAGAGCAGGAGAAAUUACGUAGCCGUGACGACGAGGACUCUGUGGAGCAGCAGGGGAGGGGGCGUGUCCAGGAGGACACUCGCCGUCGCCAGGAGCAACUUUCGCCUCAAGCCUCCACGCCCCCCGCCUCAACCCCUCCCGCCGACUCCCCACAGGCCCCUCCCACUCAACAGGCCACACCCCCACCCUCGGCCGCAGCACAGAACGCCAUGGACCAGCAGAGGGAGCUGGCGAGACGCCGCGAGCAGGAAAGGAGGAGGAGAGAGGCGAUGGCGGACACCAUUGACAUCAACUUCCAGAGUGACUUGAUGGCCAUCUUUGAAGAGAACCUUUUCUGAGAGAGAGAUUGAGAAAGGAGGAGAGGGAGAGAAAGAGAUAUGAACUCUACCUUAUCUCACCAUGGCUGGGAUUUCACACACAACACCCCCCCCUCCCUCCCUCUCUUUGAUUAGAGACCCCAGACCAGGAUGUGAGCUCCAGAGACUUGAAGGAGACUGAGGUGAGGUACAGUAAUAAGGUGGAGCCCCCCCCCCCAGCGGUGGGGACCGGGAGUACAACUUCCACUUUUUGCAAUUUCAGAUGCGUUUUUUGUGUCUAACUGCCCGUUUAUCGUUGAUGAUUGGUUGUUGCCGUGGGCAAUGGUGAAACCGGAUACCUAUCGAUAAACAGAUAUUUGAACUCCUCUUGUAUUCUGAAAUGAAACUGAGGGAGGAGGGGAGGACUGAGAACUAUUACCUGAAAAUAAAGAAGAAGAAAAAAGAGGGUUUAAUGGAGAAAGAAGAAGAAGAUGAACACCUGUUCUUCUAACGUGCGAGAGGGAGGGGCGGGCGAGAGGAUGGACAGACUUCUUUCUCUUUGGUUCAUUUCUCUCUUAAUCUAGUAUUUUUCUCUCCCUGUUUUUUGAUGUUGGGUUUUAAGCGGGGUGGGUGAGGAGAUGGGGAGGGAGAAGUGGGCGGGCUGUGUGUGUUAUCAUGUUUGCGUCCCAAAAGGGCACCCUCUUCCCUUCAUAUAGUGCACUACUUGUGUCCAGGGCCCAUGGGGAUCUGAUCAAAAGUGGUGCGCUAUAUAGGGAGUAGGGUGCCAUUUGGGACGUAUCCUCUGAGAUGGGUUCAGUUUCUCUCCGGACAGCAAGAUGAACACCGGGGUCACACCCCAGCACUAUAAAGAAGCACCCUUCCUUCCUUCUCACUCUCCUUGUUCUUUGUGACAUCACUGACUUGACACAACUUGAAAGUGUAAAAGCUUGAACUCCAUUUUUUUCAGUCAUGUCUGAUUCAUUGAUUAUUUCAAGAAAGGAGGCAGAGAGGGAAGGAAGGAGGGAAAGAGGAAGGAUGAGUGAAGAAAGGAGGGAGAGAGGGAAGGAAGAGAGGGAGGGCGGGUUACAUUUUAAUGUGGCUCUUGCCUUACAGCUCUGACCUGUAAAUGAACACACGCCACAGAUUAUACAUAUAUAUAUAUAUAUAUAAAUAGAUGCAUAAAUAUAUAUUAUAUACGAUCAAAAGUCCCUAAAAAUAAUUGGAUUAUGUUGUUGGGAGGGAGAACGGCUUAUCUGCCUUGUGCUCAAUUCCCUUUUGGUUUUUUAGAGAAUUGACUGUAAAAAAAAAUAAACAAAAAAAUUACAUUUUUUAUGAUGCUAUAAAAAAUAGUUUUGUCUUGUUCAUAACCUCCUUUCUCUCAUCCUGUUUUUCUCUGUAUCAAGUUCAGAUAUUCAAGAGUUUAAAGGCCUCUGUUUUUAUUUAAAUACCAAAUAAUUUCUGGGUAACAAUUAGGUAUGUUACUGUGAUUGUUUUCAGUUAAAAUGGCCAAAAAUAAACAAAAAUAGAUUCUUAGCAAAGAGUAAUUUUUCAAGCAAGAAUUUUGCUAGGACUGGGAGUGGUCUGAGUGGGGAGGGGGAAACUGAAAAGUAGCUGUUAAUGACAGAGGUUUGGAACUCUUUCUUAUUGGUCUAUCAACGAAUUUAUCGCUUGGUGAUGUCACCAGGCAGGCCAAAACUCCAUCCCACCAAAACAGGCUGAUUUUCUUUUCAAACAGCUCUUACACUAAAAGGGCAUUAUCAUCAUUUUCAUAAUUUCACAGUAUUAUUCCAACCUUAUAGUGUGGAAAUAU
ensembl:lncRNA